rnacentral:rRNA from 1 species
AACGCGUUAAGUGUGCCGCCUGGGGAGUACCGCCGCAAGGUAAACUCAAAGGAAAUUGACGGGGGCCCGCACAAGCAGAGGAGCAUGUGGCUUAAUUCGAUGCAACGCGAAGAACCUUACCUGGGCUUGACAUGCAGCUGCACGACCUAUGAAAGUAGGUCUCCUCCGAGGGUGCUGCACAGGUGCUGCAUGGCUGUCGUCAGUUCGUGCCGUGAGGUGUUUGGUUAAGUCCACCAACGAACGCAACCCCUUUUGGAUGUUGCCAUCGGGUCAUGCCGGGAACUCGUCCAAGACUGCCUGUUCACACAGGAGGAAGGUGGGGAUGACGUCAAGUCAGUAUGGCCCUUACGCCCAGGGCUGCACACGUGCUACAAUGGCCGGUACAGAGGGACGCGAAACCGCAAGGCGGAGCCAACCCCCCAGAGCCGGCCCCAGUUCAGAUCGGGGUCUGCAACCCGACCCCGUGAAGUCGGAUUUGCUAGUAACGGCGUAUCAGCUACGACGCCGUGAAUGCGUUCCCGGGCCUUGUACACACCGCCCGUCACAUCAUGAAAGCCGUCUGCACCCGAAGUCCGGCAUUCGUCGGCCUAAGGUGUGGGUGGUGAUUGGGAUG